CAAUACUUUGGUGGCGACCGGCGCACGGGUGCGUAACGCGUAUGCAACCUACCUUUAACAGGGGCAUAACACUGAGAAAUUGGUACUAAUUCCCCAUAACAUUCGAGAAGGCAUCUUCUUGGGUUAAAAACUCCGGUGGUUAAAGAUGGGCAUGCGUUGUAUUAGCUAGUUGGUGAGGUAACGGCUCACCAAGGCAACGAUACAUAGGGGGACUGAGAGGUUAACCCCCCACAUUGGUACUGAGACACGGACCAAACUCCUACGGGAGGCAGCAG
rnacentral:rRNA from 1 species